rnacentral:misc_RNA from 1 species
GAUGAAGAACGCAGCGAAAUGCGAUACGUAAUGUGAAUUGCAGAAUUCCGUGAAUCAUCGAAUCUUUGAACGCACAUUGCGCCCCUUGGUAUUCCGAGGGGCAUGCCUGUUCGAGCGUCAUUAUAACCCCUCAAGCUCAGCUUGGUGUUGGGGCCUGCUGCACUGGCAGCCCUUAAAAUCAGUGGCGGCGCCAUCUGGCUCUAAGCGUAGUAAUUCUUCUCGCUAUGGAGUCCUGGUGGAUGCUUGCCAUCAACCCCCAAUUUUUCUAUGGUUGACCUCGGAUCAGGUAGGGAUACCCGCUGAACUUAAGCAUAUCAAUAAGCGGAGGA